UACGGAGGGUGCAAGCGUUAAUCGGAAUUACUGGGCGUAAAGCGCACGCAGGUGGCUGAGUCAGUCGAUUGUGAAAGCCCUGGGCUUAACCUGGGAAUUGCAGUCGAUACUACUCGGCUCGAGUAUGGGAGAGGGCAGUGGAAUUCCCGGUGUAGCGGUGAAAUGCGUAGAUAUCGGGAGGAACAUCAGUGGCGAAGGCGGCUGCCUGGCCCACUACUGACGCUGAGGAACGAAAGCUAGGGGAGCAAACAGG
rnacentral:rRNA from 1 species